CCCACCCCAUCCUACAGACCAGGUGCAGUUUGAGAAGUGUGGCAAGAGGGUGGAUCGGCUGGAUCAGCGUCGUUCCAAGCUGCGCGUGGUUGGGGGCCAUCCGGGCAACUCACCCUGGACAGUCAGCUUGCGGAAUCGGUGAGGCACAACUGCCUGUCUCCCACAGAGAUGAGCUGAGGUUGUGUCCUCUGUGGUUAUCCCACUGGGGGCUGGGAAUCUAUCCCUGCCCCCAGAGAUCCUAGCCAGAAGAUGGCAGGUCUAGCAUCUGUCCCAGGAGUCUGUUACCUGUCCUAAUUCCCCACUCCUCUAGGCAGGGCCAGCAUUUCUGCGGGGGGUCUCUAGUGAAGGAGCAGUGGAUACUGACUGCCCGGCAGUGCUUCUCCUCCUGCCAUAUGCCUCUCACGGGCUAUGAGGUAUGGUUGGGCACCCUGUUCCAGAACCCACAGCAUGGAGAGCCAGGCCUACAGCGGGUCCCAGUAGCCAAGAUGGUGUGUGGGCCCUCAGGCUCCCAGCUUGUCCUGCUCAAGCUGGAGAGAUCUGUGACCCUGAACCAGCGUGUGGCCCUGAUCUGCCUGCCCCCUGAAUGGUAUGUGGUGCCUCCAGGGACCAAGUGUGAGAUUGCAGGCUGGGGUGAGACCAAAGGUACGGGUAAUGACACAGUCCUAAAUGUGGCCUUGCUGAAUGUCAUCUCCAACCAGGAGUGUAACAUCAAGCACCGAGGACGUGUGCGGGAGAGUGAGAUGUGCACUGAGGGACUGUUGGCCCCUGUGGGGGCCUGUGAGGGUGACUACGGGGGCCCACUUGCCUGCUUUACCCACAACUGCUGGGUCCUGGAAGGAAUUAUAAUCCCCAACCGAGUAUGCGCAAGGUCCCGCUGGCCAGCUGUCUUCACGCGUGUCUCUGUGUUUGUGGACUGGAUUCAC
rnacentral:sRNA from 1 species